CAGUCAGCUUCACUCUGCUCUGAGCCCAGGCCCGUAUUUCUCAUUUCACCACACCCAUAAGUGCUUUCUGACUUGGAAAUGGAGAUUAAAUUUAGGCCCUGA
rnacentral:lncRNA from 1 species